GUCCCCAUCGUCUAGAGGCCUAGGACAACUCCCUUUCACGGAGUAGACAGGGGUUCGAAUCCCCUUGGGGACGCCA
rnacentral:tRNA from 1 species